UACGUAGGGUGCAAGCGUUAACCGGAAUUACUGGGCGUAAAGCGUGCGCAGGCGGCUUUGCAAGACAGAUGUGAAAUCCCCGGGCUUAACCUGGGAACUGCAUUUGUGACUGCAUGGCUGGAGUGCGGCAGAGGGGGAUGGAAUUCCGCGUGUAGCAGUGAAAUGCGUAGAGAUCGGGAAGAACAUCGGUGGCGAAGGCGGCCUGCUGGGCUGUUGCUGACGCUGAGGCGCGACAGCGUGGGGAGCAAACAGG
rnacentral:rRNA from 1 species